UACGGGAGGCAGCGGUGGGGAAUAUUGCACAAUGGGCGCAAGCCUGAUGCAGCCAUGCCGCGUGUAUGAAGAAGGCCUUCGGGUUGUAAAGUACUUUCAGUCGUGAGGAAGGUGUUAAGGUUAAUAACCUUAGCAAUUGACGUUAGCGACAGAAGAAGCACCGGCUAACUCCGUGCCAGCAGCCGCGGUAAUACGGAGGGUGCGAGCGUUAAUCGGAAUUACUGGGCGUAAAGGGCACGCAGGCGGUUAAUUAAGUUGGAUGUGAAAUCCCCGGGCUUAACCUGGGAAUGGCAUUCAAGACUGGUUAGCUAGAGUCUUGUAGAGGGGGUAGAAUUCCAUGUGUAGCGGUGAAAUGCGUAGAGAUGUGGAGGAAUACCGGUGGCGAAGGCGGCCCCUGGACAAAGACUGACGCUCAUGUGCGAAAGCGUGGGGAGCAAAC
rnacentral:rRNA from 1 species